rnacentral:snRNA from 1 species
AUCUCUGUGCAGCGGUAGUAUCGUAGCCUAUGAGGUUUAUCCGAGGCGUGAUUAUUUCUAGUAGAAAACUUUACCUAAUACCCUUCAGACUUGAAAUAUGGUUGGUAAUAUUAGAUGGUCUCUCUCCAACAUUGUUCUAACAUGGAAAUAAGA